CAGGGUUGCAUGGGAUGAUAUCAUUCGCCGCACAACUCUCCGUUUGAACAUGACAGUUCUGAAGAUGCCUGUAAAUGGAUGCUCCCAGAAUAGCGCAGUCUCACUCCUACAACCCCGACCUGGAAUUCCUAACAGUUGGUAAAUUUAAAGCCGGGGACUCAUUCAGGCUGGGUCACGUGAUGCUAUUUAUGAUGGGAAUGCUUCAGUGCCUACUAGAUCCCACCAAGCAGCUCCCAGCUGGCUUGUCUUCUGCAUUUCACACCUAGGAACUAACUCCAGAUGUUGGUAGCCAGGAGACAGGAGGGAAGAUGGAUGAAGACAACACCAUGCAGUCUCUUUUCCUUCUGGAAACACAGAAUAUUUCACCCAGUUAGUCAUUCGCUCUUUCGCCUACUCUUAUCAGCUCAGACUGAUUUCAGAGAGUAUAGAUAGGGAAUGGCCACGUGAUAAUACACAGAGGACAGGGGAGCCAAGAGU